AACGCUGGCGGCGUGCCUAAUACAUGCAAGUCGAACGGUCUUUUCUAUGGAAGCUUGCUUCCACUGAGAAGAUAGUGGCGAACGGGUGAGUAACACGUGGGUAACCUGCCCAUAAGAGGGGGAUAACAUCCGGAAACGGGUGCUAAUACCGCAUAGUUUCUUGAUCGCAUGAUCGGGAAAGGAAAGACGGCCUUUGUGCUGUCGCUUAUGGAUGGACCCGCGGCGUAUUAGUUAGUUGGUGAGGUAACGGCUCACCAAGACGAUGAUACGUAGCCGACCUGAGAGGGUGAUCGGCCACAUUGGGACUGAGACACGGCCCAAACUCCUACGGGAGGCAGCAGUAGGGAAUCUUCCGCAAUGGACGAAAGUCUGACGGAGCAACGCCGCGUGAGUGAAGAAGGUUUUCGGAUCGUAAAACUCUGUUGUCAGAGAAGAACAAGUUGGAGAGUAACUGCUCCAGCCUUGACGGUAUCUGACCAGAAAGCCACGGCUAACUACGUG
rnacentral:rRNA from 1 species